GAUGAAGAACGUAGCGAAAUGCGAUAAGUAAUGUGAAUUGCAGAAUUCAGUGAAUCAUCGAAUCUUUGAACGCACAUUGCGCCCGCUAGUAUUCUGGCGGGCAUGCCUGUCCGAGCGUCAUUUCAACCCUCAAGCACAUCUGGGCUUGGUGUUGGGGAUCAGCUCUCCUUGUGGGAGCUGGCCCUUAAAUCUAGUGGCGGUCUCGCUGUAGCCUUCUCUGCGUAGUAGUAACAUCUCGCAGGUGGAGAGCGGCUUGACCACGCCGUUAAACCCCCAAUUUUAUCAAGGUUGACCUCGGAUCAGGUAGGAAUACCCGCUGAACUUAAGCAUAUCAAUAAGCGGAGGA
rnacentral:misc_RNA from 1 species